AAUCGAACUCGGAGAUAGCUGGUUCUCCCCGAAAUAGCUUUAGGGCUAGCGUUAUCUUAGAUUACCGGAGGUAAAGCACUGAAUGGGCUAGGGGGCGAUAAGCUUACUGAACCCUAUCAAACUCAGAAUGCCGGCUAAUUGAUGGAUAGCAGUCAGACAGUGUGAGAUAAGUUUCAUUGUCAAAAGGGAAACAGCCCAGACCCACAGCUAAGGUCCCUAAUGUAUGCUAAGUGGAAAACGAUGUGGAAUUGCGAAAACAACCAGGAUGUUGGCUUAGAAGCAGCCACUCAUUAAAAGAGUGCGUAAUAGCUCACUGGUCGAGUGACUCUGCGCGGAAAAUAUAACGGGGCUAAGCAUGCAACCGAAGCUUGGGAUUGUCUAAAGACAGUGGUAGGGGAGCGUCGUGUACGGGGUGAAGUCGCAUCGGAAGGAGCGGUGGACUGUACACGAGUGAGAAUGCCGGAAUGAGUAGCGAGAAUUAUGUGGGAAUCAUAAUGGCCGAAAAUCUAAGGUUUCUUGGGGAAGGUUCGUCCGCCCAAGGUAAGCCGGGAGCUAAGGCGAGGCCGCAAGGCGUAGUCGAUGCACAUACGGUAAAGAUUCCGUAGCCGCCGAACUUUAAGUCAGAGGGACACUUGCAGAUAGCGGAACCCAGCCGUUGGUUGAGCUGGGCGAAAGGGACUGAAUUUAGUAGGGAAGUCCGCGAUGCUGAAAGGCGAGAAAAGCUCUGAUGAAUACUAAGGCGCCCGUACCGCAAACCGACACAGGUAGAUGAGGAGAGAAUCCUAAGGCCAACGGGAGAAGGGUUGUUAAGGAACUCGGCAAAUUGACCCCGUAACUUCGGAAGAAGGGGAGCCCCGAAAGGGGCCGCAGUGAAUAGGCCCAAGCAACUGUUUACCAAAAACACAGGUUUAUGCUAAAUCGAAAGAUGACGUAUAUGAGCUGACGCCUGCCCGGUGCCGGAAGGUUAAGAGGAGAGCUUAGAGCAAUCGAAGGUUUGAAUUGAAGCCCCGGUAAACGGCGGCCGUAACUAUAACGGUCCUAAGGUAGCGAAAUUCCUUGUCAGGUAAGUUCUGACCCGCACGAAUGGCGUAAUGAUUUGGGCACUGUCUCGACAGCCCGCCCGGCGAAAUUGUAGUACUGGUGAAGAUGCCAGUUACCCGCAACUAGACGGAAAGACCCCAUGGAGCUUUACUGCAGUUUAAUACUGGGAAUCGGUAAUGCAUGUACAGGAUAGGUGGGAGACUAGGAAGCAUGGUCGUCAGGUCAUGUGGAGUCACCGGUGGGAUACCACUCUUGUAUUGCUGAUUUCCUAACCUGCGGCCGUGAAUCCGGUCGGGGGACACUGUUAGACGGGCAGUUUGACUGGGGCGGUCGCCUCCAAAAGAGUAACGGAGGCGCUCAAAGGUUCGUUCAGCACGGACGGAAAUCGUGCAUUGAGUGUAAACGCAUAAACGAGCCUAACUGCGAGACCGACGGGUCGAGCAGUAACGAAAGUUGGAGUUAGUGAUCCGGUGGUAUGUGAGUGGAAAUGCCAUCGCUCAACGGAUAAAAGCUACCCUGGGGAUAACAGGCUGAUCUCCCCCAAGCGUCCACAGCGACGGGGAGGUUUGGCACCUCGAUGUCGGCUCGUCGCAUCCUGGGGCUGUAUUCGGUCCCAAGGGUUUGGCUGUUCGCCAAUUAAAGCGGCACGCGAGCUGGGUUCAGAACGUCGUGAGACAGUUCGGUCCCUAUCUGUUGCGGGCGUAAGAGAUUUGAAGGGAGCUGUCCUUAGUACGAGAGGACCGGGAUGGACGUACCUCUGGUGCAGCAGUUGUCCUGCCAAGGGCAUAGCUGGGUAGCUAUGUACGGACGAGAUAAACGCUGAAAGCAUCUAAGCGUGAAACUCCCCCUAAGAUGAGAUCUCUCAUCCUUUAU
rnacentral:rRNA from 1 species